rnacentral:rRNA from 1 species
UACGUAGGGACCGAGCGUUGUCCGGAAUCAUUGGGCGUAAAGAGCGUGUAGGCGGCCAACUAAGUCCUGCGUGAAAUCUCGGGGCUCAACCCCGAGCGGUCGUGGGAAACUGGUUGGCUAGAGUGCGGGAGAGGAGAGUGGAAUUCCUGGUGUAGCGGUGAAAUGCGCAGAUAUCAGGAAGAACACCCGUGGCGAAGGCGGCUCACUGGCUCGGUACUGACGCUGAGGUGCGAAAGCGUGGGGAGCAAACAGG